rnacentral:misc_RNA from 1 species
AUAGCCCUGAUAAGUGUCUUUAA